rnacentral:rRNA from 1 species
UACGUAGGGGGCGAGCGUUGUCCGGAUUUAUUGGGCGUAAAACGCUUGUAGGCGGCCACCGCGCGUCGGACGUGAAAUCUCCCGGCUCAACUGGGAGGGGUCGUGCGAUACGGCGGGGCUCGAGGCCGGUAGGGGGACGCGGAAUUCCCGGUGUAGUGGUGGAAUGCGUAGGUAUCGGGAGGAACACCUGCGGCGAAGGCGGGUUGCUGGGCUGACACUGACGCUGAUGCGCGAAAGCUAGGGGAGCGAACGGG